GACGAACGCUGGCGGCGUGCCUAAUACAUGCAAGUCGAACGCAGUGGGGACGGUUGAGUAACACGUGGCUAACCUCCCAUCAGAGGGGAUAAAACUUGGAAACAGGUGCUAAACCCAUACUGGUGGAGGGACCCGCGGUGGAUUAGCCAGUUGGGGGGGUAACGGCUCACCAAGGCCACGAUGAGUAGCCGAGCUGAGAGGGGGAUCGGCCACACUGGGACUGAGACACGGCCCAGACUCCUACGGGAGGCAGCAGUAGGGAAUGUUCGGCAAUGGACGAAAGUCUGACCGAGCAACGCCGCGUGAGUGAAGAAGGUUUUCGGAUCGUAAAACUCUGUUGUUAGAGAAGCGGUAUCUAACCAGAAAGCCACGGCUAACUCCGUGCCAGCCGCCGCGGUAAUAC
rnacentral:rRNA from 1 species